GACGAACGCUGGCGGCGUGCUUAACACAUGCAAGUCGAACGCUGAAGCUCAGCUUUUGUUGGGUGGAUGAGUGGCGAACGGGUGAGUAACACGUGAGUAACCUGCCUCCUUCUUUGGGAUAACGCCCGGAAACGGGUGCUAAUACUGGAUAUUCACUGGUCCUCGCAUGGGGGUUGGUGGAAAGGGUUUUUCUGGUGGGGGAUGGGCUCGCGGCCUAUCAGCUUGUUGGUGGGGUGAUGGCCUACCAAGGCUUUGACGGGUAGCCGGCCUGAGAGGGUGACCGGUAACAUUGGGACUGAGAUACGGCCCAGACUCCUACGGGAGGCAGCAGUGGGGAAUAUUGCACAAUGGGCGCAAGCCUGAUGCAGCGACGCCGCGUGAGGGAUGGAGGCCUUCGGGUUGUGAACCUCUUUCGCUCAUGGUCAAGCCGCAACAAUGGUUGUGGUGAGGGUAGUGGGUAAAGAAGCGCCGGCUAACUACGUG
rnacentral:rRNA from 1 species